rnacentral:rRNA from 1 species
UACGUAGGGGGCAAGCGUUGUCCGGAAUCAUUGGGCGUAAAGCGCGUGUAGGCGGCUCGGUAAGUCUGCUGUGAAAGUCCAGGGCUCAACCCUGGGAUGCCGGUGGAUACUGUCGAGCUCGAGUCCGGAAGAGGCGAGUGGAAUUCCUGGUGUAGUGGUGAAAUGCGUAGAUAUCGGGAGGAACACCUGUGGCGAAAGCGGCGCACUGGACCAUAACUGACGCUGAUGCGCGAAAGCUAGGGGAGCAAACAGG